GUUGCUCAAGAAAUGAAUACAAGUUCAGCCCCGCUACGCCCCUCGCCACAACAGUUUUACUAAGACUAGGCAAAGGGACACUAACGGAAGUUAGUUGAAGGAGGUACAGCUCCCUCAACAAAGGACACAACCUUCAACAGGAGGCUAAAGAAUAAAUUAAAACGAGGCCACAGGUUUCAGUGGGCCUAAAAGCAGCCAUCUGAACAGAAAGCGUUAAAGCUCGGACCAGAACAAGCCUAUUAUAAUAUUAUAACCUCUAAUGCCCCUAUUACUACUGAGCCAUCCUAUGCCUACAUAGGAGGGACCAUGCUAGAACGAGUAACAAGAAGAAUGAACUUCUCCCCGCACAAGUGUAAGUUGGAUCGGACCCCCCACCAACAAUUAACGAACCCAAUAAUAGAGGAGCCUACACCCCCGCCACCCUAGGCCAAGAAGACCACGUAUUACCAUAUCGUUAACCCCACACAGGAGUGCUAGACAAGGGAAAGACUAAAAGGAUGAAAAGGAACUCGGCAAACCGAAACCCCGCCUGUUUACCAAAAACACCGCCUCCUGACCACACCACAUAGGAGGUCCCGCCUGCCCAGUGACCAAAAGUUUAACGGCCGCGGUAUUUUA
rnacentral:rRNA from 1 species